UACAGAGGUCUCAAGCGUUGUUCGGAUUCAUUGGGCGUAAAGGGUGCGUAGGCGGCGCGGUAAGUCGGGUGUGAAAUCUCGGAGCUUAACUCCAAACUGCAUUCGAUACUGCCGUGCUUGAGGACUGGAGAGGAGACUGGAAUUUACGGUGUAGCGGUGAAAUGCGUAGAUAUCGUAAGGAAGACCAGUGGCGAAGGCGGGUCUCUGGACAGUUCCUGACGCUGAGGCACGAAGGUCAGGGGAGCAAACGGG
rnacentral:rRNA from 1 species